rnacentral:ncRNA from 2 species
AGAUACAUGGUAAGCGAUGAUUUCGAAUCUGUAUCUGGGCACUUGGAUUCGACGGAGCUAGUAGUGCAACCGGACCACCCUUCA